AUUUCAAAUGCAUCUAUAACAUCUGAUACAAGUAUUCUAUAUGUAUUAGGUACUACUACGGUGGUAGCAGGUGACCCCUCCUUUAAUAAUCAGAUUUCAUAAAUGUACAGGGUCCAUUUUGACCCAAGACAACAAUCCAGACUAAGAAUUUACCAAAGGUCAGAUCAUAAUGAAUACUAGUAUUAUAUGGACAGAGUCAAUAUGAUCCCAGAUCAGCACUCCUACUGGUGAAUUCUCUCUCUCCGAUAAUCCUUUCUAUAAUUUCAGAUUGACCCCCUGAUCUAUGAUUCGUAGAUGUGGGAGAGGUGAGCACCUAUCAGUUCCUGCUGCUGUCCUUCACCCCUCAGUGCAGACUUCUGACCAUCGCUUAGGCCAGGAAGAAGUCAGCCAAGUUCAUCGCCAUGCAACGCACUACUGAUUGAGGAGACCAUGAGAAGGGAGUAGGCCACCUGACCAACACCAUUGCUGUGUGUGGUUAAAACCUCUCUAGGCUAGGCGUGCCGCUAGCGACCCACCUCGACAACAUCCGGGAAAACCCAUAGAAGCCUUAAGACACGGAUCAGUGAGCACCGCAGCAAUAUACGGACAGGUGAGACAAAAAAUCCGGUUGCUGCUCAUUUUGUACAAGCUGGACAUCCUUUUAGUUCUCUGAGAUACAUUGGAAUAGAAAUGGUGAAGAUGUCCUGCAGGGGAGGGGACAUUGAGAGGAAACUUCUUCAAAGGGAAUCUUUCUGGAUCCACAGGCUCAACACAUGGUCUCCUCUUGGCCUUAAAGAGGAGCUUGACUUGAAAACGUUUUUAUAGUUUCAAUAAUUCUAAAUUGUGUUUUUUUUAAUCCUAAUUGAAUUUUGAAUGUGUAUGUAUAUUACUAUAAAUAUUUAUGACAUUCUCUG
rnacentral:lncRNA from 1 species